CCGCACAAGCGGUGGAGCAUGUGUUUAAUUCGAUGCAACGCGAAAACCUUACCACCUUUGACAUGUACGGAAUCCUUUAGAGAUAGAGGAGUGCUCGAAAGAGAACCGUAACACAGGUGCUGCAUGGCUGUCGUCAGCUCGUGUCGUGAGAUGUUGGGUUAAGUCCCGCAACGAGCGCAACCCUUGUCAUUAGUUGCUACAUUCAGUUGGGCACUCUAAUGAGACUGCCGGUGACAAACCGGAGGAAGGUGGGGAUGACGUCAAGUCCUCAUGGCCCUUAUAGGUGGGGCUACACACGUCAUACAAUGGAUGGUACAAAGGGUCGCCAACCCGCGAGGGGGAGCCAAUCCCAUAAAGCCAUUCGUAGUCCGGAUCGCAGUCUGCAACUCGACUGCGUGAAGUCGGAAUCGCUAGUAAUCGUGGAUCAGAAUGUCACGGUGAAUACGUUCCCGGGUCUU
rnacentral:rRNA from 1 species